rnacentral:rRNA from 1 species
UAGGGAAUCUUCGGCAAUGAACGAAAGUCUGACCGAGCAACGCCGCGUGAGUGAAGAAGGUUUUCGGAUCGUAAAACUCUGUUGGUAGAGAAGAACGUUGGUGAGAGUGGAAAGCUCAUCAAGUGACGGUAACUACCCAGAAAGGGACGGCUAACUACGUGCCAA